rnacentral:rRNA from 1 species
GAUCAUGGCUCAGGAUGAACGCUGGCGGCGUGCUUAACACAUGCAAGUCGAACGAAGCGCUAUUAUUUGAUUUCUUCGGAAUGAAGAUUUUAGUGACUGAGUGGCGGACGGGUGAGUAACGCGUGGGUAACCUGCCUCAUACAGGGGGAUAACAGUUAGAAAUGACUGCUAAUACCGCAUAACCCGAUAGGAUCGCAUGAUCCAGACGGAAAAGAUUUAUCGGUGUGAGAUGGACCCG